GAUGAACGCUGGCGGCGUGCCUAACACAUGCAAGUCGAGCGGAGAAUUGUUGCUUGCAACAAUUCUUAGCGGCGGACGGGUGAGUAACACGUGGGUAACCUGCCCUAAACAAAGGGAUAACAAUGAGAAAUCAUUGCUAAUACCGUAUAAGCCUGCACUAUCUCAUGAUUGAGUAAGAAAAGAUUUAUCGGUUUAGGAGGGGCCCGCGUCUGAUUAGCUAGUUGGAGAGGUAACGGCUCACCAAGGCGACGAUCAGUAGCCGACCUGAGAGGGUGAUCGGCCACAUUGGGACUGAGACACGGCCCAAACUCCUACGGGAGGCGGCAGUGGGGAAUAUUGCACAAUGGAGGAAACUCUGAUGCAGCAACGCCGCGUGAAGGAAGAAGGUUUUCGGAUCGUAAACUUCUAUCUACAGGGAAGAAAAAAAUGACGGUACCUGAGUAAGAAGCCCCGGCUAACUACGUG
rnacentral:rRNA from 1 species